rnacentral:rRNA from 1 species
CGGGACGGGGUGGAGGUAACGACGUGGAGUAACCUGCCUCACACAGGGGGAUAACAGUUAGAAAUGACUGCUAAUACCGCAUAAGCGCACGGUACCGCAUGGUACAGUGUGAAAAACUACCGGUGGUGUGAGAUGGAUCCGCGUCUGAUUAGGUAGUUGGUGAGGUAACGGCCCACCAAGCCGACGAUCAGUAGCCGACCUGAGAGGGUGACCGGCCACAUUGGGACUGAGACACGGCCCAA